CGGGGCGUAGCUCAGCCAGGUAGAGCGCCGCGUUUGGGACGCGGCGGCCGGCAGUUCGAGUCUGCCCGCCCCGACCG
rnacentral:tRNA from 1 species